AUCCUUUUGUAGUUCAUAAGUGUGAUGAUUGAGUUUCCUGCCUAUGUGUGAAAUGUCCUCCUUCAAACCUUGUUACUAUGUUGGCACAUUGGCCAUCUGAUG